CUUAAAACACUGGUUCCCAUACGAUCACCGAAAUUAAACAACGCCGAGACUGGUUAGUACCUUCUUGGGUGGCCGCUUGGGAAUACCAGGUGCUGUAAG